UACAGAGGGUGCAAGCGUUAUUCGGAUUUAUUGGGCGUAAAGAGCGCGUAGGUGGUUCGAUAAGUCUGGUGUGAAAGCCCUGGACUCAAUCCAGGAAGUGCAUUGGAUACUGUCGGACUAGAGUAUGGGAGAGGAGAGCGGAAUUCCAGGUGUAGAGGUGAAAUUCGUAGAUAUCUGGAGGAACAACAGUAGCGAAAGCGGCUCGCUGGGUCUCUACUGACGCUGAGGCACGAAAGCUAGGGUAGCGAACAGG
rnacentral:rRNA from 1 species